rnacentral:sRNA from 1 species
AUUCUUUUCUGCCAAGGAACGUAAAUAGCUAUGUAUGGAAAACGUAAUAAAUUUUUUAAGAUGACAGCAACUAUGUUGUAUUCUGACACUGUUGACUAGAUAGCUGAAUUUACUAGCAAACCAAAUGGAACAAAAAUUUAAGAAAAACCGAAAUGUAUCCUUAAUCUUCUAAUAGAUUCCAAUCACUGUAAGACGCACAUUAACAAACCUUUAAAAUUCAUGUUAUAAAUAUCAGCAAAUAAGAUCAACAUUACCUAGCUGAUGUAAGCUAUCAACCUCUUCAAUUAUUGAUUUGAACUUAUCUGAAUCAACGUUUGAUAUACAAUCUUUCUCAUCUGCAUAACAAGAGAAAAAAUCAUCAAUGGAAAGAUAUCAAUUUAACAGCAGAAAAUCAACCUUAUCUGUUGAUUUUUCAGUCUUUAAAAAAUGCAUAAAAAGGUAGAAAAGCUCAAUUCCUAUAACGACCGUAUCCCAUUUUCACAGUAAACACCAAGGAUUACCAUUCAAAAUCCUGAAAAAUAAAUGCAGAGUCACGUUUAUCAAGGGCGAGAGGUAAGCCAGGUUCUCACUUUGCAACCGGUAAACAAAAAUAUGAUAAAGAUACUUCAACCAUAUGCUUAAUUUGUGCAAUGCGAGAUUUCAUCAAUUUCUUCACAAUAAAUACAAAGUAAUAUAAUUAAACAAUUUCAAACAAAACAGAGACAGUAUAAUCUCAUCCGGAUAUUCAAACUAAGAGCUCCUAAAAUUGAAAAUACGAAAAUAAACAGAGAAAUCGCUAAAAUCGUGGAAAAUCAAAUUACCGCUUAUCCGAUUCUUAACGGUAAGGUAUUUCGACCGAAGGACUCUGCGUUGGAUAUUAUUAUCUUCGGCUCCCACAGAAUCACAAUUCUCGUUGGCACCUGAUGCUUCGUGUAUUUCUUGUGCACUGGUUCUGGUGCUCCUAGUACUGUUUCCUCGAGUGUCGAUCAACUCCCGUUUUACCGUUCGCACCAUUUUGUAAUUGUUCUCGGCAAGAAAAAUAGGAAUUCCAGGCUACUUGAUAUGAAGUAAACAGGAAGGGGGAAAUUCGAACAAAAACUGGGAUGUGAAAUUUUGAAUUUUAUAUGGUUCGGGUAAAGAUUUGGGGGGGAUUUUAUGGAGCGAAACCCUCAAAUGUUUUUAUUGUUUGAAAAUUGGCAAAACUCAAUCCGACGCGCUCUGCCCCCAAAAAUUGUUGUGUUGGUGAGCAUGGAAAUAUACAUUAUUAUUCCGCCUUUUCUCUCGUGUUUGGCUAAACUUUAAAAACUAUAAAUUUGCUUAUAAGUAAAAUUUCCUGCUGUCAUUUUAAAAGAUUUUCAUAACGUUCAUUUGAAAAGGACGUUCGCAAUUCUGAUCAUUUUAAAAGAUUUACUUAACGUCUUUUUCCUUGGCUUCUACUUUCGCAAAACGAAUUUUGAAAAGCAAUAUUGAAAAAGUAAAGAAUUAAGCCCCCGUUUGAUAUCUUAAAAAUUUUAAUUAAAAUUUAAAUCAAAAUUAAUAAUUAAUAUUAAUCAUGCCCCAAUUCGAUAUCGUUAAAAUUUUUUAUUAACAUUUAAGUCAAAAUCAAUAAUUAAUAUUAAUUAUACAUUUCAAACAACCCACGACUUUUUGAUCAUACAUUAAUUAACUUUUAUCAAAAUUUAUUAAAAUUUUGAUUUUUAAUUCUCUAAGAAACGAAGGCUAUCAAUGUUGUCAAACUCGGCCUGACUAGUUCAACCCACAAUUUUUCAACUAUACAUUAAUUAACUUUUAUCAAAAUUUACCAAAAUUUUGAUUUUUAAUUCUGUGCCAAAUAGAGGCUAUCAAUGUUGUCAAACUCGGCCUAACUAGUUCAACCAUGAACUGAUAAAUCGGUGACGAUUUUGCAGAUUUUGCCAAUUUUUAUUUUAAAAAUUUUUAACUUCAUUAAUGGGAUCAAAACCUACAAUUCAACUCAUGAACUGGUGGGGGUUCUACGGAUUUUGCCAAUUGUUAUUUUAAAACAUUUUAAGCUCAUUAAUCGGCUUUGUGAACUACACUCAAAUGCUCAUAAAGGAAAGUUGGAUGACAUGUUCUUUUUAUAGAUACGCUUCUCUUAAAUAGUUUCAUAAAUUAUUAAUAUGGAAUAGUGCUUUUUAUAGAUACAAUUCUCUCAAAUAGUUUUAUAAACUUUUAAGGAAAGUGCUAUAUGUAUAUAAUUAUCAUAUAAUGGUGUCCAUAAUUAUGCAUGACAUUGGAUCCAAUCUUUAAUUCAAAUUUCACACUUACACAUCAACAACCGAAUGAUUGUCACAUCGCAUUAUGGACAUCAUUAUGUACAAUAAUUAUGUACAAGUAGAAUUUUUCAACUUUUAAUGUGAGGUAGAGGUAUGGUAAAAAAAUGUUAAAAUGUCCAUCAAACCCACUUUUCUUAUGUCUAAUUGAAUCAUAACUAACUAAAUUGUAAUGUCCAUCCCCAUCCUUUCAUUUAUUUAAUUUUCAAAUUAACUUAAAUUAAACUUGAUUAUUAACAAAUAAUAUUAACAGCCGGUUUGAUCCACUUUUUUUCAAAAAUAAAAAUAAAAAAUUAUUAAACAGUGAUUUGACAUUAUUUCAACUACACAUUCUUCAAUAAAAUAAUAUUAUACACAAAUCCAAAUUUUUUUCUUAUCUUUUAAUCACACAUUUUUCCAUCAAUGUACUAUUCAAAAAUACAUUUUUAUAAAAAUAAUGUGGCUCAAACAAGAGUUAAAUAUCAUUUACGACAGGUUUAAACUAUUUCAGUUUAACAAAGCAACUAUUUUAACAUAUUGAUUUUUAUUUUUUGAAGUAUCGAGACUAAUUGUAAAAUAAUGAAUCUAAUUAAUAAAGAUAAAUUUAGUUUGAAGAAGCUUAUGUAGAGGCAACUAUGGCAGGAUUCGUUAUCUUGGCAGGAAAUCCCAUCUCAUUGGGGGCAGGAAAAAAAAUCGACAUCUUGAGGUCUUUUCAUCGUAUUUUAUUGUUUGUGUAUUUAUUUAUUUACUGCAUCCGAUUCGAUCCCAUUUGAACUUU